UACGUAGGGGGCGAGCGUUAUUCGGAAUUAUUGGGCGUAAAGCGCGCGUAGGCGGUUUUGUAAGUCAGGUGUGAAAUCCCCGGGCUCAACCUGGGAAUGGCAUUUGGGACUGCAAGGCUGGAGUGCGGCAGAGGAGACUGGAAUUCCUGGUGUAGCAGUGAAAUGCGUAGAUAUCAGGAGGAAUACCGAUGGCGAAGGCAGGUCUCUGGGCUGACACUGACGCUCAUGCACGAAAGCGUGGGGAGCAAACAGG
rnacentral:rRNA from 1 species